rnacentral:rRNA from 1 species
GUGGCGAGUGGCGAACGGGUGAGUAAUGUAUCGGAACGUGCCUAGUAGCGGGGGAUAACUACGCGAAAGCGUAGCUAAUACCGCAUACGCCCUACGGGGGAAAGCAGGGGAUCGCAAGACCUUGCACUAUUAGAGCGGCCGAUAUCGGAUUAGCUAGUUGGUGGGGUAACGGCUCACCAAGGCGACGAUCCGUAGCUGGUUUGAGAGGACGACCAGCCACACUGGGACUGAGACACGGCCCAGACUCCUACGGGAGGCAGCAGUGGGGAAUUUUGGACAAUGGGGGAAACCCUGAUCCAGCCAUCCCGCGUGUGCGAUGAAGGCCUUCGGGUUGUAAAGCACUUUUGGCAGGAAAGAAACGUCAUGGGCUAAUACCCCGUGAAACUGACGGUACCUGCAGAAUAAGCACCGGCUAACUACGUGCCAGCAGCCGCGGUAAUACGUAGGGUGCAAGCGUUAAUCGGAAUUACUGGGCGUAAAGCGUGCGCAGGCGGUUCGGAAAGAAAGAUGUGAAAUCC